UGUUUCAAAUAGCUAUAAAACUUGGUAGGUGGAAUAUGAAGUCUGAAGAGAAAAGAGUUGGCGAAAAUACAGAUUUUUUCUGUCGUAAUAACAUAAACAAAGAAGAAAAACAAAGGUUUAGGAAAACUUACAAAAAGAUAUUGGAUAUAUUGGUGCAGAUUGUGGAACGUGGAAAUUACCAACAAUCCAAAAAAUUCAAUAAAAAGUGAAUUUUACAUCGUUUUAUGAAUUUUUAAUCCAAAUUAGCGAUAGCUUUGUCUAAUAUUCCACGUACUGAAAUAAUGAAAUUGUCAGAUAUCGGAGUGUAAAAAUGGAAUAUAAAAUCUAAUGUUUUGGCGUCUUCCUAAGGGGAGACGUCAUCACCUUUA